ACGGGUGAGUAACACGUGGGAACGUGCCCUUCGGUUCGGAAUAACUCAGGGAAACUUGAGCUAAUACCGGAUACGCCCUUAUGGGGAAAGGUUUACUGCCGAAGGAUCGGCCCGCGUCUGAUUAGCUAGUUGGUGGGGUAACGGCCUACCAAGGCGACGAUCAGUAGCUGGUCUGAGAGGAUGAUCAGCCACACUGGGACUGAGACACGGCCCAGACUCCUACGGGAGGCAGCAGUGGGGAAUAUUGGACAAUGGGCGCAAGCCUGAUCCAGCCAUGCCGCGUGAGUGAUGAAGGCCUUAGGGUUGUAAAGCUCUUUUGUCCGGGACGAUAAUGACGGUACCGGAAGAAUAAGCCCCGGCUAACUUCGUGCCAGCAGCCGCGGUAAUACGAAGGGGGCUAGCGUUGCUCGGAAUCACUGGGCGUAAAGGGCGCGUAGGCGGCUUUUUAAGUCGGGGGUGAAAGCCUGUGGCUCAACCACAGAAUUGCCUUCGAUACUGGAAAGCUUGAGACCGGAAGAGGACAGCGGAACUGCGAGUGUAGAGGUGAAAUUCGUAGA
rnacentral:rRNA from 1 species